GACGAACGCUGGCGGCGUGCCUAAUACAUGCAAGUCGAGCGAAGUUUUUCUGGUGCUUGCACUAGAAAAACUUAGCGGCGAACGGGUGAGUAACACGUAAAGAACCUGCCUCAUAGACUGGGACAACUAUUGGAAACGAUAGCUAAUACCGGAUAACAGUAUUUCUCGCAUGAGAGAUAUUUAAAAGUUGGUUAUGCUAACACUAUGAGAUGGCUUUGCGGUGCAUUAGCUAGUUGGUGGGGUAAAGGCCCACCAAGGCGACGAUGCAUAGCCGACCUGAGAGGGUGAUCGGCCACACUGGGACUGAGACACGGCCCAGACUCCUACGGGAGGCAGCAGUAGGGAAUCUUCCGCAAUGGGCGAAAGCCUGGCGGAGCAACGCCGCGUGAGUGAAGAAGGAUUUCGGUUCGUAAAGCUCUGUUGUUAGGGAAGAAUGGAUAUGUAGUAACUAUACAUGUAAGAGACGGUACCUAACCAGAAAGCCACGGCUAACUACGUG
rnacentral:rRNA from 1 species